CUGAUGCAGCGACGCCGCGUGAGUGAAGAAGUAUUUCGGUAUGUAAAGCUCUAUCAGCAGGGAAGAAAAUGACGGUACCUGACUAAGAAGCCCCGGCUAACUACGUGCCAGCAGCCGCGGUAAUUA
rnacentral:rRNA from 1 species